UACGUUUUCUCAAAUGAUUUGAUUUAUUUUUGCAGGUCUCGAUUUUAUGCGAAAACGCCAUUUUUGCCAGGGUCAAAUUUGGAAAGGAAGCGUUGGUGGUCCUUUCUACAACUUUCAGGAGCAGGGCAUCCAAGGCGAGAUAAAAUUUAUCGAAAUCAGUGGCAUCUAAAGCAAUUACCAAGAGGCUCUCUCGGUUCCAGCGAAGGCAAACAUGCAGAAUGUAAAGUCGGCUUCUGUGAACUGCCUCGUCCAAGACGCGUAGCCAAAGCAGGUGACCUCAUCUCGUGCAGAAGCGAAUCCUUCAUCCUGCGAGUGAUGCAACCGAUCAAGAAUUCUGUCCAUUGAAAUAUUGCUCAAUCAAAACUAUGCAAUAAACGCUGUAUACUCACCGUAAA